GGCUACCUGGCGCAAUGGUAGCGUGUCCGCCUACGAUCUUGUCGAUAGCGGGAGGUUGCAGGUUCGACCCCUGCGGUGGUCA